CCUCUGGCAUAAAAAGAUAACCACCCACAUGCCAUGCAACUCUGUUGUGCCAGUAACUACCAAAACACCAACAACAAAGAAGAGUGGAAAGUUGUCACAAGAAACCAGUCUAGAUGGGCUUCCACCUUGAAGUCUCCAGAAUUAAAAAUAGCCUCUAUUUUAUGUCUUUCAGUAAUAUGAUAAUCUUGGUUGACGUUGUGCUUGAAAGAGCCCUUGGGGUUCAAGGCUCCACUUUGGAGAAUAUGUCAUCAAAGCCAGCAACUGCACCUACGCAUACAAUGAAACAGACAACCUCGCUGUACAUCAGUGGCAUGUAAGAGAAUAUUGGAUUUGCCUGCAUUUAUGAAAAUUUUCAAAAUAUAUGUAUUUUGGUUUUCAUAUUUCUCACACUUUUUGGUGCCAUUCAUAAACUAGCAAGCCUACAGUGACAUGUGCUCCCUGUGAAUGGAUGGCUCUUCACAGAAAAUCCCAAAGUCUUUCGUAAGUUUGUUGAAAAUUUGAUUCCAAACAAAUGAAUUAUACCAAAUAAUCUUUUGUAGAUUGUUCUUCUAUAAUGCUUUUAAGUAAUUUUAUAGAUAGAUUAUUUAAUUCAAACACAAAUGAUAACUCGUUGAAGAGAUUUCUGUUAUGGCCAUUUUCCAAAAUUUAAUGUCACUCCCCUUGCACCUUCAAUGAGUUGCCAGCGUUAUUGUUAUAAGUUCAUCAUAGUUGUUGCUCUUGCCCCAUCUGGAGCAAAUUUCCAGAACUGACUACAAUCAUAUGGAAGUAUGAACUGCAUUAAGUACAUGAAAUUGGUCAGAAGCAUGCAUGCAUAAAUAAACACCACAAAAGCACUCUAAACAUUUUCCAAUAUUUUCCAACACCUAGCAACCUAGCUAGCUCCUACUAUAAUCACUAUGGUUUUAUAACAUCUUUUCCUGAUUUAAAGUGAAUAGCAACAGAAACCUCAAAUGGGCAUGAUUGUUUUAAAUCAGCUAUAUCAGAUCUGUAAAAAAUGAUAAUAUCUUAAUGCCUUUCUAAAGAGAUUUAAAUUAAAAUAUUCAUAUAUAGAGAUUUAUUAAUUUAUUUAACAUGUGAUCCAAUCAAAUGCAUCAUAAUUAGCUUAUAUCCUACCUUGCAUAUUUGCUCCUCAGCUUCUCCUUUCCUCUUUCUCUACUUUUGUCUAAACGCAGGAAAGGAAGUGAGGGGUAACAGACAGUUCUAUUUCAAACCAGAACUAUGGGUUGAUGCAACACAUAUUGCUUAAGAGAAGAACUGAAUAGCUUCUAAGCAACACAUAUUGCCAGCCCACUGAAACCAGCUCUUAGGGCAAAUUUAAAAAAAAAAAGAAAAAAAAGAAAAAAAGAGAGGAAACACCAACACCAUCAAGUAGCUUAGAGGAUUAUACUAGUCAUUCAAAGUUAGAAGCACAAUUACUCAAGGAAUUGCUGUGUGGCUUUACAUAUCAAACGAGGCUGCAAUAAAUUUAACUGCUUUACUUCACUUGAAAGAUGCCCAAUAUCACCAUGAAAUUCCCAUACAAAAUAUUAUACAAUAUUCAGCUCCACAUCACUGAUCAGUCGAACAAAUCAGGAAAUAACAAGGAAACAAAAUCCAGGAACAGUUUUCGAAAUAAGUUUUCUAAAGAUUUCAAAAAAGUUACGAACUUUACCCUCUAUGGUGGCCCGUUGCGCCUCACAAACCACGGAUCCACGGCGAAGACCCUUACUAAUCGCCACGUUAGAGGCUGACAGAACCCUUAGACGGCGCGGAGCGAUCCCCAAACCACUAAAUUCCGGCAAGAGCCCCAUUCUGCGGGGGUAAAGAGAGGUGGAAACCGGCGCCGUCGCCACCCGCGGUGCGGAUGCCGCAAUGAUGGUGGGGCGAGGGCGGGGAGCCGCGAGCGACUCCAGAACGGCUGCGGCGGAGGCCAUUGGAGGAGGUAACCCUAAUGAGGGGAAAUGAACGAACCCUAGAGAAGCAAUGAACCCCAGGGUCGUUUGAUUCGAGGGGAGAGAUGAAGAGAUUGCUAUGCGAUGGGGUGAAAUAGAGAAGAUGAGGGAGUGGGAAAGGUGCUGCUGCGGAAUGGAGUGCUGACCGAGUCCGGAUCUCAAAUAAUUGUGAUCG
rnacentral:lncRNA from 1 species